rnacentral:rRNA from 1 species
CGGCCCAGACUCCUACGGGAGGCAGCAGUGUGGAAUAUUGCGCAAUGGGGGCAACCCUGACGCAGCAACGCCGCGUGCAGGAAGAAGGUCUUCGGAUUGUAAACUGUUGUCGCAAGGGAAGAAGACAGUGACGGUACCUUGUGAGAAAGUCACGGCUAACUACGUGCCAGCAGCCGCGGUAAUACGUAGGUGACAAGCGUUGACCGGAUUUACUGGGUGUAAAGGGCGCGUAGGCGGACUGUCAAGUCAGUCGUGAAAUACCGGGGCUUAACCCCGGGGCUGCGAUUGAAACUGACAGCCUUGAGUAUCGGAGAGGAAAGCGGAAUUCCUAGUGUAGCGGUGAAAUGCGUAGAUAUUAGGAGGAACACCAGUGGCGAAGGCGGCUUUCUGGACGACAACUGACGCUGAGGCGCGAAAGUGUGGGGAGCAAACAGGAUUAGAUACCCUGGUAGUCCACACCGUAAACGAUGGAUACUAGGUGUAGGAGGUAUCGACCCCUUCUGUGCCGCAGUUAACACAAUAAGUAUCCCACCUGGGGAGUACGACCGCAAGGUUGAAACUCAAAGGAAUUGGCGGGGGCCCGCACAAGCAGUGGAGUAUGUGGUUUAAUUCGAAGCAACGCGAAGAACCUUACCUGGGCUUGACAUCCCUGGAAUCGAGUAGAGAUACUUGAGUGCCUUCGGGAAUCAGGUGACAGGUGGUGCAUGGUUGUCGUCAGCUCGUGUCGUGAGAUGUUGGGUUAAGUCCCGCAACGAGCGCAACCCCUAUUGUCAGUUGCCAUCAUUAAGUUGGGCACUCUGGCGAGACUGCCGGUGACAAAUCGGAGGAAGGUGGGGACGACGUCAAAUCAUCAUGCCCCUUAUGCCCAGGGCUACACACGUACUACAAUGGCCGAUAACAAAGUGCAGCAAAACCGUGAGGUGGAGCGAAUCACAAAACUCGGUCUCAGUUCAGAUUGCAGGCUGCAACUCGCCUGCAUGAAGUUGGAAUUGCUAGUAAUCGCGGAUCAGAAUGCCGCGGUGAAUACGUUCCCGGGCCUUGUACACACCGCCCGUCACACCAUGAGAGUCGAUAACACCCGAAGCCUGUGAGCUAACCUUUUAGGAGGCAGCAGUCGAAGGUGGGGUUGAUGAUUGGGGUGAAGUCGUAACAAGGUAACCGUACUAGU